rnacentral:lncRNA from 1 species
CUAAUGUGAAUAAUCUAUAUCUCGGAUCAUUACCUUGUGUGUAGUCUUUCAAAUUCCCAUGCACUGCAAAGUCAGUAUAUGUCUCCCACUAUGAGAGCGGGGAAUAGAGCUCACAUUCUGCCAUUGAGAAAAAACAAAGAAGAAGCUGUGUUCAUUGUAGGAGACUUGGCACCCGAGUAACUUCUUACUCAAGAAGGCCCUGUGUCUCUGAAGGUGGCAUGUACGAGCGGGCAGAGAACACCAGGGAGCUUGCUGGAAAUGCGGAAUCUCAAGACUCACUUUAGGAAAGAUCCCCAGGAGAUGCAGAGAAGACUGAGAAGUACUAACUCUUUUAUCAAUGCAAUGCACCUCCAGAGUAAAGUGCAGGAAACAGCCACAUUAGUAGAAGCCGGUCAGCUCUGAAGCUGCUUCCAUGUACAACCCUGCCAACACAGCCUGAUGGGAAGGGCUGCCGGGGGAACCAGCCAAAGAACUGUCGCCAAGUUCAGCCUAGUGUCUCCUACUGGAAAUGUCUCCUUACUCAUUGCAUGAGGAUCU